rfam:Gossypium raimondii Chr09_contig_491, whole genome shotgun sequence.
AUUUAAAAUUUUUAUUCAUUUCUACUGUUAAAAACUGACAUAACUAACAUACACAUGACGUGCUACUUGUACCGCAUGUCAACGUACAAUACCCAAUUUUUAAUAGUAAAAAUGGAUAAAAAUUUUAAAC